GCUUCGGUGGCCUAGUGGUUAGAGCGUCCGCCUCGGAUGCGGAAGGUCAGGUGUUUGAACCCCGGCCGACUCA